AGAAGUUUAGGUUAAAUGAAACCAAGGGCCUUCAAAGCCCUAAACAAGAGACACCCUUCCUCCUAACUUCUG
rnacentral:tRNA from 1 species